GACAGAAAUCCACGUCCCCGGGCGCGGAAGAAGCUCCGAGGGAUGCCGACCCUCCCCACCACGCAGCUCCCCCUCUGCUACCCAAGGCCACGCUCGCAAUUUGGGUUCUUUAAUUUAUUUUUUUUUUUCCCUUUUGCUAGGAUCUAAAUUUGGAGCGGGUUCUUCCCCUGCUCUGAACAGCUCCCGGAGCCUGGCUGGGGGGAGAGAGAGAGAGGCAUCAGAUGACAUGACAAAAUAAGUCAUGUCUCUCAUCAUUUCAAUGCCACCCCCUCUCUCUCGGCCUCUGCCUUCCAUUUUAAUCACUGACAGCCCUUCAAGUAUUAUGGAUAUAUAUAAUCUUUUUAAUAUCAUUGACAUUUUUCACGAUGGAAAACAUCUCAGGGGUGCUGAGACAUUCUGGGGGGGGGGAGGGGGGUUGUGCCUUCCUGCUGCUGCUUCCACCAGCCACACAAAGUGCUGAGCCCCAUCUUGCCCCAGGGUCCUGCCUUAGGUCUGGGGGAGGCCGUGUGCCUCUGGGGGCUUUGCAGAUCACAGCAGCCUGACAUUCCCAACAGGCUCUGGCCGUGCAGGCUGAAUAAGCAUCCAGUCCCACUCCCAGCUGCAGUGUGGGAAAAGGGCAUAUCCAGCAUCCAACCCCUCUGCAGGUCAGCCCAGAGAACAUCCCAGCUCGGGAAGUGACAGGCAUUCUUCAUGGCAGCCCAAGCUCCAAGCUUUCCCCUUCCUUAUUCCCAACCUCCUGCUUCACUGUGUCAGAUGGUAAGGCAGACAGUUUGCCUUUCUGCAGGCAGGGAUUUUUUUAUGAGCAAAGUGAACCUCUCCAUGGGGAAAACACCCCUGGAAGUGUUUUUGGAGCUGUACAAAUGUGGAGUUUCUUUGCUGGGGGACCCAAAAUCCCUCCAUGGGUAUAGGACCCACUGCUUGCCCUCAGCAGAGCCUGGCUGCUCACCCAGACCCCCUCUGCCAUUGGAAAUGUACUGUCAUCUUCUGCUUGCAGCAUAGUCCUGCAAUUCCCCCUCUUCCCGUUCUCUCUGGUGGUGAUGGUGUCUUCAGGCCCCACUCACAUGAUGGGUUUGGAAUGCAACUCCCAAGGCCAGGAAGGUUGCUCACCUUGGUUAUUUAGCAAACACAACACAAAUUAUUAACACUAAUACAAAUAAUGCCCACGCUUGGGAGAGGAGAAGGAAUGAUUUCCUUGCCUGGCUGCAAGUAUUCAGCCUUACAGUAUCCUGCAGAGUGCAGGGCUGACAGCCCUGAGUCUCCUUACUAAGGACAGAGCCCAUAUCUCACACUAGGCCUGUAAAUAAGAGGUGUGUGUUUCUAAAGCUACUUUGUGCAAGCCACCUCUAAUUCCACUGCAGUUCCUGUUCUGUUACUUCCACAAAUCAAUGCAAAAAAAAAAAAAAAAAAAAAAAAGGCAGCUGGCUCACAAAAAGCUGCAACAGCCAGAGAGAGAGUAGAAUACCACAGUUGUUGGCCCAGCACAUCCCUUCCUGAAUGCUCCUUGUACCUGUUCUCUGAGGACAGUCUUGUCCAAGGCUGGAAGAGGCACUGGCAAUAAUUAUGACAAAAAUUACAACAAGAAAUUAGACUAUUCACAGGUUUGUGAAUAGUCUAAUUCACAAUUAGACUGCCCUCUGCCCACCUGCCCUCUGCUACCAGUCUCCCCCCUGGAAGGGAAGAUGCCAGCACAGGACAUUCUUCCAUUGUACGUGACUGAUGUCAAACUUUCAUCUACCCGUGUUGUAUUAACAGAUUUUCCUGUGGGUAGAUGAACACAUGGAGCCUGGUUUCAAUAGGACUGAAGAUAUGGAUCCAUGGAGACAUGGAUGGGCUUUGCCAUCCUUUAAGCCCACAGAAGGCAGCUGCUGUGCUAAAACCACCAUUUACCUGUUUCCUCUGGAACAGCUUCUACAUAGGUGUCCUCCUUAGUCAAACCAAGCAGGGAUCUCAGCCUCAGAGAACAACUCACCAAGUCAUCAAUUGCUCUACGCCACAGCUGGAGGCUGAGAAAAUGGUCAAGAUCAGAAGGGAGAUGGUGCAGCAACUGCCACCUUGUUUGACCCCGUGCCCAGAAGUGAAGGCACCUUAUGGCUGACAGCUCUCCUGUGCAACUAAACCAACAAAACAGCACCCACUGUCUAAACAUCUGUGCAGGGGGAUGCUAAACUGCUUUCCUCAUAUUAGAGACCUCCAAGGUCUCAAUGGUUUGCAAAUCAGCAGGCUCCCAGGAACCCAUAAAUAUUACUGUGAAACUAGGUCUGCUCCUCAACAUGACACAUGUUGUUAUAUCAA